rnacentral:rRNA from 1 species
UACGUAGGGGGCAAGCGUUGUCCGGAUUCAUUGGGCGUAAAGAGCUCGUAGGCGGUUCAGUAAGUCGGGUGUGAAAGCUCCGAGCUCAACUCGGAGAGGCCACCCGAUACUGCUGUGACUUGAGUCCAGUAGAGGAGCGUGGAAUUCCUGGUGUAGCGGUGAAAAUGCGCAGAUAUCAGGAGGAACACCGGUGGCGAAGGGCGGGUCUCUGGGCCGAUACUGACGCUGAGACGCGAAAGCGUGGGGAGCGAACAGG